AUUACAAGAAGUUACCAUAUAACUACUUUGACCGGCAACUAUUUGCUAAUUUCUCUUCUUAGUCUGUUUGGGUCAAGAAAACUAAGAUAUAGAGGAUAAUUUCUUUUCCAAUGACCUAGCUUCUUAUAAAAGAAGCACUCUGCCUGACUCUAGUCUGCUUUGGGCUUUUUGGCCUGAUCCAGCCCAAGAACAAUGUCCAACUUCUGAUACUGGCUAUCAAAAUUGGAUCCUAUAAGUCUGUCAUUAUCUAAC
rnacentral:lncRNA from 1 species